rnacentral:rRNA from 1 species
CCUACGGGCGGCAGCAGUGAGGAAUAUUGGUCAAUGGGCGGGAGCCUGAACCAGCCAAGUCGCGUGAGGGAAGACGGUCCUACGGAUUGUAAACCUCUUUUGCCGGGGAGCAACGGGGUCCUUGCGAGGGCCCGAUGAGAGUACCCGGAGAAAAAGCAUCGGCUAACUCCGUGCCAGCAGCCGCGGUAAUACGGAGGAUGUGAGCGUUAUCCGGAUUUAUUGGGUUUAAAGGGUGCGUAGGCGGGCUGUUAAGUCAGCGGUAAAAUGACGGGGCUCAAGCCCGGCCUGCCGUUGAAACUGGUAGCCGCGAGUGGGCGAGAGGUAUGCGGAAUGCGUGGUGUAGCAGUGAAAUGCAUAGAUAUCACGCAGAACUCCGAUGGCGAAGGCAGCAUACCGGCGCCCGACUGACGCUGAGGCACGAAAGCGUGGGUAUCGAACAGGAUUAGAUACCCUUGUAGUC